CAUAGUGGAGCAUUUAGCAGCUAAAGAGCCAGAUAAUUCCCUCAGGAGUUGGUAGAGACCAAAAACAGAGCUAAAAGAGAGUGACUAUUGGACUUACAUCAGGUGGACACAAAACACAACUCCAAAUCAAUGAUCAAAUGCAGUUUCAUGAAGGAACUAUCGGUAGAAAGAAAAUAGUUCCUACAUGAAACUACUCACAACAAAUCUGUGGAUUAUCUUGAGUAACCGGGUCAUGAUUUCUGGAAAGAGACAUUGCUGUUGAGUUUUUCAACUGUAUCUUUUUGACACUUUGAGCUCCACAAAGCUCAAAGUGUGUCAUAUCGUCCCAAUGUAUUAAAAAAAUGCAGACAUCUCUACAGCCGAUAUCUCCAAAACUCAGCAACUCACAACAACACAAUCCAUAUGGAUAAAUAGCACUACAGGUAAGAGGAAACAUGUAUUUUUUAUUUUGGGGUCCCUUAUAGUCCCUUUAAGAGUUGAUAACAUGCCAACGUUGUUUUCACAACUAAACGUGAAUGCGCUCAGUAAAUUUCCGAACAAUCUGCCAAUUAGAUUUUGAUAUUUGUUGUAUAUAAAGAGAAGCUUUAUUUUGUCUUAAUAGUAUAUAGUGAGGAAACUGGGAAAAAAGGAUUUAUCCAUUAAUAUCCGAAGCCAUUUUGAUUGACAAUCAAUUUGAUUUCAAGAUACCUUUUCAUGUACCGAAGUGCUGGUCAAGGGAAGAGUGUACAUAAUUAAAAGCCGUCCUCUGGGGACCAUGAAUGUCCAUACCAAAUUAUAUGGCAAUUUGGCAGGAAGAUUGUUCUUUGGACCAAAGUGUUGGCUGCACAGACUGAGUCACUGACUGAUCACCACCACUAAGGCUCUGCCUCUGACAGACAAAACAUUAAUAAACCAGCAACUUUAAUCCAGAAAUUCUAUCUGGAGCUCAGCGUUUUCAUCAGAAAGGCACUCGCCUAGUUAGACAUGUAUAUGAUGUCUGUUUCCUCUAAGUAAACGUGUUCAGUCACUUUUUAAGGUUGCUCUCUCCACAGAGCAGCACACAGUUGCCUGGUACACUGAAACACAUAGUUAUCCUCAGUCCAAGUUGGACCGCUAAGUGUGAAAUUCUCUAUAAGUUGAGUCUGCUGUCUCGUCUUACAGAAGCUGACCACUCAGACCAGGCUGCAGCUUUCCACUUGAACUUUGACCCAGGGAGAUUGUAUGAUAAUAUCAUCAAACUGCUUUUUAUUCCUGGCACAAUAAAUGUCAGUGUCUAUUAAUAGCAUAAAGGAUUUAGCUGACUUUCUUUUUUUUGUCACUGCUCUCACUGGCAUCACUGGCUUCAUUUUUCAAUGAUAUGCGCCGAAAGGUAGGUCGUGGAAAAUAUUCUGAUAAUCAGAAAUACGAUCUUAGGUUGUUUCAAAAUGAAAACGUACAUGGUUGUGGUGUGGGUGUUCCUCACAGGCAGGCUAUUUAUAAAGCAUACCAGUCCUCAUUCCUGUUCCAUUCUGUGGGAUCAUUCAGUGACCUUCACUGGAGACUGUGGAGCCUGCUGACUGUGCUGCACGGCCAUAAGGGGAGGAGCAACGAGCAAUGGUUAAACUGGAGUGGAAGGAAGCUAUAUGAGCUGAGUUUUAUUAGCUAACCCUUAUGCUGAAUCUGUUUGGUGCAUCGUGCCAAGUAUAUGUGGAUAUCUGUCGAUCUUCAAGUGAGGAGAUCUGAUUUGCAAAAUCUAUGACUUCUUCUCCUUAAAACACAAUUUAAUAAGCCGGCUUUUAUAUAAUUUCUAUUUUUCAGGAAUUUUAUUCUUCUAUUUCAUCUCUUCAGUCAUUAGCUUUUCUUCAAACCUGUGAUUAACCUUUGGCUUUUUUGAUAGAAAGCUUAAAGCUUUUCUGGAUUGGCGCCAUGCUGGGACAGCCCUACACCAGUGAUGUCAUUGCUCGCUGUCCCCGGAGGACACUACAGAUGUGGGUUGAAUGCAGUGUGUGUGUGUCUGCAAAUAUACCAGUACAGCAUGUAUGUAUGUAUGGGAAGUGUGAGUGAAAAGAAAAAGCGUGAGCCUGAGAGGAAGACAGGCAGAAAGAGAGUAAGAGUGCACGCAGCUGCAUACAUAAUGCAAAGAAAUCUGGAAGAGGUUUUGGUUGAGGCUUCCUAAAUGAGGUCAGGUUAUUAAAUAUUUACAAUAAUCAGACAUUUUUGUCCUUCAUACAAAUUCUUCUCUGUCUCUGUGAUACAGUGUGUUUGUAUACAGGAUUGUAGUGCAUGCAUGUUUCUAUCAAUCAAUCUACAAUAUCUACAUAGUUUUAACUGCUUAGAAUUCCUACCAAUAUCCUGUGGUGAAAUUAAAAAGGCUGUUUGGCGCUUAAAACAAAGCUUAUAUGUAAACAAAUCAAACCAGUACAUAUAAGCAAUUUCUUGAAUUGUGUAUGAUGACUUUCCUUGUGCUUAUAUGUAUUUCCAUUCUGUGCUUCCUGUGUUGAUUUAUCCUCAGUUUUUGUGAUAUGUUGUCUCUGUGGAGGUUGCUACUGUAUGUACAAAUGUGAACUCCAUUUCCCAUGUGUAAAAAUGAAAGCACAGGUGUGCUCUAUUUGAUGUCAUCAUAAGAUCUGAGAAUACCUUUUGUCAAACAUUCGCCCUGAUGAGGGUCUAGUGACUGAAACAGCUCUCUUUCUCCAUAUUUGAUGUUUUUGGCCUUCUUGCAUUUUAGCAUUGUGUUGUGAUCGCAGUAGUAAAGUCUUGAAUCCUCCAGUAAAAUCCAACUUGGAUAUGAAUAUAUUUACAUCACUCCUCUUUUUUCCCGUUUGCCUUGAUGGUGAAGCAAUUUAUUUUAACAAAAGUCAAUUCAUUAUUUAACUGAUUAAUUAUUAUUAAUUAUUUGUUUUAGUCACAGAUGAUCUCUACAGAUGCAGAAACUUUAACGAUAGCCCAAAAUAAAAUGUAAUAAAAUGAAAGACAUUGGCAAAAUAUGUGGUAGGACUGAAAAAAGGGACUUUAUGAGUAAUAUGUGCUGUCUGCUGGUCCUUGCACUGUCCCUCAUAUGACACUUAAACCAUUUCUUUCUACAAUUACAAAGACAGCACUGACCCCUGGCUGUACUUCGAACAUACUGUGACUAAGUGGUACUAAUUGGACAAGUUAUACAUCCCUUCAUAAACAAACAAACAGAUGAACACAGAGCAGAACACAAAUAAAACAUUGUGAACCAAAUCUUCAUGUGAAUAAUUAUGUAAACAACAGAGUGAAAAGAGGUUCAUUGUAGAUUUCAACUGAAAUCACUCUUUUAUCCUUUCUCAGAAUGACACCCUGAGUAUUUAAAAUUCACUUAAGAAAAACAAAAAAAAAAUUAAAAGGUACAAAAUGCAACUUCAUGUUGCAGGCAGUGUAAUCCAGUUUCCCCAGAUCAGCUAGAGCCAACAUUUAUGUUUUUUUAACUUAACUUUCUAAAACUCUAUACAGAUCACAACGAAUACUGUAAAAAAUGUAGUGUGCAUGACACAAAGUUAAUCUCAUCGCAGUUUCUGGUUUUGCAUGUUUUAGCCCAUUCACUACAAACUGCAUAAUGUUUUUCUGACCAUUUCUCAAAGCUUACCACACACAAUAUUAAAUCAUGCUUGAGAGGUGAUGUACUUUUAUUUUUCUGUCAAAUCUCUGCUGGCAGCUGUGAGUAGGGACUGUUAAAAACUCUCCUUGAUAGUGAGUUCAAGGUUGUGCUGACUUCUGAAAUUUGAGUCAGCUUUUGUACUGUAUGUUUACAGUGUAUAAAACAGUG